rnacentral:rRNA from 1 species
UACGAAGGGGGCUAGCGUUGUUCGGAAUUACUGGCGUAAAGCGCGCGUAGGCGGCUUUGCAAGCCAGAGGUGAAAUGCCUGAGCUCAACUUAGGAAUUGCCUUUGGGACUGCAAGGCUUCGAGGACUGGAGAGGUGAGUGGAAUUCCCAGUGAUAGAGGUGAAAUGCGUAGAUAUCGUGGAGGAACACCGGUGGCGAAGGCGGCGUUCUGGAGCUGUAUCUGACACUGAGGAAC